rnacentral:tRNA from 1 species
UCAUUUAUAGUAUUCAUGUACGGUUGCCUUCCAAGUAAACAGUCUAUUAAAAAAUAGUAGAUGAA